rnacentral:rRNA from 1 species
UACGUAGGUGGCAAGCGUUGUCCGGAUUUACUGGGCGUAAAGAGCUCGUAGGCGGUCUGUCACGUCGGCUGUGAAAACCCGAGGCUCAACCUCGGGCCUGCAGUCGAUACGGGCAGACUAGAGUUCGGUAGGGGAGACUGGAAUUCCUGGUGUAGCGGUGAAAUGCGCAGAUAUCAGGAGGAACACCGGUGGCGAAGGCGGCUUGCUGGGCAUUGUCUGACGCUGAGGCGCGAAAGCGUGGGGAGCGAACAGG